UACGAAGGGGGCUAGCGUUGUUCGGAAUCACUGGGCGUAAAGGGCGCGUAGGCGGCCUUGUAAGUCGGGGGUGAAAGCCUGUGGCUCAACCACAGAAUUGCCUUCGAUACUGCGGGGCUUGAGACCGGAAGAGGUCAGUGGAACUGCGAGUGUAGAGGUGAAAUUCGUAGAUAUUCGCAAGAACACCAGUGGCGAAGGCGGCUGACUGGUCCGGUUCUGACGCUGAGGCGCGAAAGCGUGGGAGC
rnacentral:rRNA from 1 species